UAUUAUUAAGCGGAGGAAAAGAAAUUAACAAAGAUUGACAGAGUAAGGGCGACUGAAAUGUCAAAAGCUCAGCAUGUGAAUCAAUGCGGACUUUAGUCAGCAUUGAAUUGUGAUCUUGCAAUUAUUGUGCCAACCAGUCCAGACUAUGUUUUUUGGAAUAAAAUAGCACAGAAGGUGAAACUCCUGUUUGUCUGGACUUUCGACGCAAUAAUUACUGAGUCGAGUUGUUUGGGAUUGCAGCUCAAAUGUGGUGGUAAAUUCCAUCUAAAGCUAAAUAUUGGUGGGAGACCGAUAGCGUACAAGUACCGUGAGGGAAAGAUGCAAAGAACUUUGAAAAGAGAGUGAAAGAGUACCUGAAAUUGCUGAAACGGAAGCGAACAAAGCUAGUGACAGCUGCGUUAUUUUGUCCAAUUUGCUUGCAAUUUGGACGCUGUGGCCAGCAAAAGUCCACCUUGAUUCUUGUGCGUGAAAACAGCCACUAAAAGAUUCCAUUUUUGAGGCCACCAACACGCACUGCAAUUGAGCGGGACAAAAUAGAUUUGUUUGUCCCGUCUAGAAACACGGACCAAGGAGUCUAACAUAUGUGCGAGUACUAGGGUAACAUACCUUGGUGCAAAAUGAAAGUGUCAGAGGCUGGAAUAUUUUAUUGCACAGUCCGCCGGCCUCAAUCCCUCGGGAAAAUGGUCUGAGUGUGAGCACACAUGUUGGGACCCGAAAGAUGGUGAACUAUGCUUGAGUAGGGUGAAGCCAGGGGAAACUUUGGUGAAAGCUCGCAGCGAUUCUGACGUGCAAAUCGAUCGUCAAACUUGAGUAUAGGGGCGAAAGACUAAUCGAACUAUCUAGUAGCUGGUUCCCUCCGAAAUUUCCCUUAGGAUAGCUGCAAUCUUUUAUGCCAGUUUUGUCA
rnacentral:rRNA from 1 species